rnacentral:rRNA from 1 species
AUUGAACGCUGGCGGCACGCCUAACACAUGCAAGUCGAACGGCAGCACAGAGAGCUUGCCCUCGGGUGGCGAGUGGCGGACGGGUGAGUAAUGUCUGGGGAACUGCCUGAUGGAGGGGGAUAACUACUGGUAACGGUAGCUAAUACCGCAUAACGUCGCAAGACCAAAGUGGGGGACCUGCGGGCCUCAUGCCAUUGGAUGUACCCGGAUGGGAUUAGCUAGUAGGUGGGGUAAGGGCUCACCUAGGCGACGAGCCCUAGCUGGUCUAAGAGGAUGACCAGCCACACUGGAACUGAGACACGGUCCAGACUCCUACGGGUGGCAGCAGUGGGGAAUAUUGCACAAUGGGCGCAAGCCUGAUGCAGCCAUGCCGCGUGUAGGAAGAAGGCCUUCGGGUUGUAAAGUACUUUCAGCGGGGAGGAAGGCGAUACGGUUAAUAACCGUGUCGAUUGACGUUACCCGCAGAAGAAGCACCGGCUAACUCCGUGCCAGCAGCCGCCGUAA